UACGUAGGGGGCAAGCGUUAUCCGGAUUUACUGGGCGUAAAGCGCGUGUAGGCGGUUGCGUAAGUUGGUUGUGAAAUCCCUCGGCUUAACCGAGGAACUGCGACCAAAACUGCGUGGCUGGAGUGGCAGAGAGGAAAGUGGAAUUCCCGGUGUAGUAGUGAAAUGCGUAGAUAUCGGGAGGAACACCAGCGGCGAAGGCGACUUUCUGGCUGCUAACUGACGCUGAGACGCGAAAGCUAGGGGAGCGAACGGG
rnacentral:rRNA from 1 species